rfam:Rhizobium sp. Root708 contig_2, whole genome shotgun sequence.
CUCUUCGUUAACCUUUCGAGAUCACUUUAGCUGCAGUGUUCGCUUCCUCCUUGACCACGGAUGUACUGGCAUCGACGCGAAGCGAAUGACGAAAGGCCGGAUUGAUCCGGCCUUUUUGUUUU